GAAAAGUCUUUGAACAAAAGUAGUACCCUUCAUUUGAAACAUAACAGAGAGUCGGGCAGGUGAGAGCCGAUAUGGGACAGGAAGGGGAAUGGAUUUGGGAGAUGCAAGGUGAAUUAACAGUAGCUGAUGCCGCGUCCUCGCGUUACAGGGGUAUGAUAUCGACUGUAAGGUCCGUAUCAGAAUAAGAGUGAAUGAUAUUGCAGACUGACCGUUGUUCCGGCUCGCAUAGUAUCUGAAGUGGACAGAGAACCGGCACAUCAGAGGGAAAUCUGCAUAUGAUUAAUUAGGGUGGCACCGCGGAUAUUUCGUCCCUGAC
rnacentral:ncRNA from 1 species